UUUAACUACAUUAAAGGAGGGUUGGGGGACCUUAGAGUGACACGUGUCCCCCCAACCCUCCUAUUCUCUCUCCUUCUAUACACACACACACACACAUAUAUAUAAUACAAAAUUUAAAAUUUUGAUAUUUUUAAAUUUUAAAGUUUUAAAUUUUAAAUUUAAUAUUUUAUAUUUUAAAUUAUAAUAUUUAUUUCCAAAUUUUAACUUUUUCAAAAUUUAAAAUUUUAAAUCUCUAAAUUCUAAUAAUACGCAUAAUAAAUCGCGGAAUAAAAUCUAACCUAAUAAAUGCAAUUUAAAUUACAUAAAAUAUCGAUGUAUAAAAAAAAUAUAGAAUUUAAAUUUCAGGACUAAAAUUUGAGAAAUACAGUACAUAUGUGUAUAUAUAUAAUUAAUUUUAUUAAAUAAUUUUUUUUACAAUUUUUUUUCUGUUCAUAUAAAUUUGAUAAAAUAAAUUAUUGUAUAAAAUAAUAUUAUAAAAAUAAUUUUAUAUCCGCAGCAUCGUGCGGGUAAUUCACUAGUGUAUAUAUAUAGGUGACUUCUACUUAUCCUAUAUCUGCUUCAAACUAGGAUUAGUGUGGGAAACCGAGCCAUACUUCAAAUAGUCUCGAAAUGUGUGCCAACAUAAACAAAGGAAAAUUUUUUCUUAUACCCUUCUAAAAACAUCUAAUUCCAUAAAUGUCCCUUUAAAAAUCAAAAUAUUACAUAUGCCUCCUCAAAUUUAAAAAAACUUUCAAAAAUAACCUUGCCAUCAUGUCUCCAUCCAUAUAAAAGCUAAUAAUAUUUAUAUUCCAAUUUUUGUUUUCCGAAAAAUCGUAAUCGAAAAAACUAAACGUCAGAAGUAUAAAGAUCUUUGACCAAAUUCUCUAUGCCGUUGCUUCGAAGGAUUCGAGUCGCUUAGUCAAAUGAUCGAGAACCUUCGCUCUGCCGCACAGACACGUGCACUGUGCUGCACCCGAAACACCUGUAUAUAUAGGUGACUUCUCCUUAUCCUAUAUCUACUUGAAAUUAGGAUUAGUCUCGAAAUGUGUGCCAGCAUAAACAAAGAAAAUUUUUUCUCUAUACUCUUCUAAAAACAUCUAAUUCCAUAAAUGCUCAUUUAAAAAUUGAAAUAUUAUGUAUGCCUCCUCAAAUUUAAGAAACUUUCAAAAAUAACCCUGCCAUCAAGUCUCCAUCCAUAUUAAAGUUAAUAAUAUUUAUAUUCUAAUUUUACCCUUCUUAAUUAUUCAAUGAUCAAUUAAUAAUUCUAUUUAAUACCCUCUAUUAAUUAAAUUAAUU
rnacentral:lncRNA from 1 species